GGUUGCCACAUGUGAAGACCCGUAUUCGAGUAUAUAAGGCUGGUCGCUCUGCCUACGAGACCAGUCCCUGCGUUGUCUUAAAAACUGCAGUCUAGUUUCUCUCAGCCAUGAUGAGUCGUGUGUUCGUCCUCCUGCUGGUGGCGCUGGCUUUGGCUUCGCUGGUGGUGGCUGGGCCUUUCCCCGAAGCUGAGGCCGGAGCCAAGGCAGAUCCGUAUUUCUUCAUCCGUAGGCCCUACUUUGGCUACGGCUACGGCUACCACAGACCCCAUUUUUAUGGCUAGAGAUGCGGACUCACAAG